AGAGAUGACUGAGUGGUCUAAAGUAUCAAAUUGCUAAUUUGACAUAUUAUAUAUAUACAAGGGUUCAAAUCCCUUUCUCUCUU
rnacentral:tRNA from 3 species